UCCCCGUUACCGGGGCAGUCUGAUUAGAAAAAUUCAACUAAUCACAAGGGUUGCGCUCGUUGAUGGACUUAACCAAACAUCUCACGACACGAGCUGACGACGGCCAUGCAACACCUGUCACUUGGCUCAAUAAAGCACUCUCUCCUUUCGGAAAAAUUCCAAGGAUGUCAAACCCUGGUAAGGUUCUUCGCUUACCAUCGAAUUAAAGAACACGCUCCACCGCUUGUGCGGGUCCCCGUCAAUUCCUUUAUGUUUUAAGCUUGCGCUCGUACUCCACAGGCGGGAUGCUUAACGCGUUAGCUUCGCUACAAGAGGGGUCGAUACCUCUCACAGCUAGCAUCCAUCGUUUACGGCGUGGACUAA
rnacentral:misc_RNA from 1 species